UACGUAGGGCGCGAGCGUUGUCCGGAAUUAUUGGGCGUAAAGAGCUCGUAGGUGGCUUGUUGCGUCUGCCGUGAAAGCCCGUGGCUUAACUACGGGUCUGCGGUGGAUACGGGCAGGCUAGAGGCUGGUAGGGGCAAGCGGAAUUCCUGGUGUAGCGGUGAAAUGCGCAGAUAUCAGAAGGAACACCGGUGGCGAAGGCGGCUUGCUGGGCCAGUUCUGACGCUGAGGAGCGAAAGCGUGGGGAGCGAACAGG
rnacentral:rRNA from 1 species